ensembl:lncRNA
UAGCUACUCAAGGAGACCAGAAAGGGUCGCUAGAGAGGAACGGACAGAGAUGCACCCCCCUAAAACCAACCCCAGCCUCCCUCCAGGCUCCUGGUGUGGCUCCUCCCACUCGCUUCUAAGCCCUGCCCUCUCUUGUAGCUCCUCCCCACCACGACUAGGCAUCGACUCCCAGCUGCUUGCCAAUUCGUUGAAACCCUACGCUGCGACCGUGGAAAUGAAUGACAGACCAAUCAGUGACAGGAGCAAGAGUAAUAUAAGGCGGGGCCUGGAGUACCUGUUGACCCGAGAGGAGCCCAAGAGAACCGCCUUAGUGGACUCCCAGGGGAUGACCAUAGAGGACUACGUCAUUCUGGCCGACAUCCCCAGACUUGACCUGGGGUCAGAGGGAGAGGGGGCGGAGGUGCUACUGGGCCCGAGGAGGAGGACCCAGAGCCCCAGCCCAUGUAGGGACCAGAGGCACAGGACACCCAGGUAUGUAGAGGAAUCUGAUAGCUGCAGUACGAGGGUUGAGUCUGAUGAGAGAGGGAGAGGCAGAGAGAGGGGGAGAGACAGGAGGGAGAAAGAGAAGGAGAAAUAUUGCGACUCAGAGGAUGGACGACUGUCCCGAACCCAGUCCACAACUGAUCUUCAGCCACAGAGGUCAGACAAUCAAACUAGAAAGGGCCUCAGAUCUUCUAAACCAUGGCAGAGAGUUCUACCUGAAAGUAC